UUUUUUGGAAGUAAAAGUCGUAACAAGGUCUCCGUUGGUGAACCAGCGGAGGGAUCAUUAAAGAGUUAUUACAACUCCCAAACCCAUGUGAACUUACCUUCUGUUGCCUCGGCAGGUCGUGGCUACCCUGUGAGGUCCUACCCUGUAGGACCCUACCCGGUGGUCUCGGUUAAGCCUGCCGGUGGCCCAAGAAACUCUGUUAAUUAUAUGUUAUUCUGAAUCUAUAACUAAAUAAGUUAAAACUUUCAACAACGGAUCUCUUGGUUCUGGCAUCGAUGAAGAACGCAGCGAAAUGCGAUAAGUAAUGUGAAUUGCAGAAUUCAGUGAAUCAUCGAAUCUUUGAACGCACAUUGCGCCCAUUAGUAUUCUAGUGGGCAUGCCUGUUCGAGCGUCAUUUCAACCCUUAAGCCCCUGUUGCUUAGCGUUGGGAGCCUACAGUUCGCUGUAGCUCCCCAAAGUUAGUGGCGGAGUCAGUUUAUGCUCUAGACGUAGUAAUUUUUUUCUCGUCUGUAGCCGGGCUGGUCUCCUCGCCGUAAAACCCCCAAAUUUUAAAGGUUGACCUCGGAUCAGGUAGGAAUACCCGCUGAACUUAAGCAUAUCAAUAAGCGGAGGAAUA
rnacentral:rRNA from 1 species